AUGCUCAUAUUUUUCAUUGGAUUGUUGUUUUGUAUAAAUACCUACAACGUUUUGUUUUCUCAGAGAACAGUGUUACAUUAAGAAAUUACAUAAUUCCGGUGUUGAUUGUGGUAAUCAUCAGUAUCGUCAUUAUCGCCUUCAUUCUUCACACCAAGUUAAAGGAUUCAAAAAAUCUGAAAUCUGAAUGCACAGCAUGAACUGCUGCUCAGCUUCCACUUUAUUCAAACUCUCAGGCUUUUCUGAUGCUACAUUCCUUCCCUGUUGUAAUAGUCACUUUGUUUACAUUCAUGCAUAAGCUAGCAAUUGUGGCCUAAUGCAGUGUUUCUCAACCAUGCACAUUUCUGGAGGACCACCAACACCGCAUGAUUUAUGACAGCAUACGACGGCUUUAUUUCAGAGGUCGCCACAGCAGAAUGAACCACCAACUAUUCCAGCAUGUUUUACGCAGUGGAUGCCCUUCCAGCCGCAAACCAGUAUUGGGAAACACCCACACACUCUCACAUUCACAUGCACACACUAUGGUCAAUUUAGUUUAUUUAAUUCAUCUUUAGCGCAUGUCUUUGGACUGUGGGGGUAACUGGAGGACCCGGAGGAAACCCACGCCAACACAGGGAAAACAUGCAAACUCCACAUAGAAAUGCCAACUGGCCCAGCCGGGACUCGAACCUGCAACCCUCUCACUGUGACGCUAACCACUAAGCCACCAUGUCGCCGAUGUUUGCAUAAAUUCACCCUGUGUAUCCACAAACAUUGUCUACUGUAAACUCUGCACUUUAUGAAUCUAGGAUUUAUUUUAUUUUUUUUACGUGUGAAGACUUUGUAUAUUUCCAUUUGUUGUGCUUUUGUGGUUUGUUUACUGUGUGCAUUUUUUACCUUGAUUUGUAAAUUUACUAGAUGUGAAUUGUGUGUUGCUCAAGAGCCAAACAUUAAAAUUUGAAACUCAUAAAUGUCAUACCAAUUUAAAGUUUCACUUACUUGCUGAUCAAUACACGUACAUGCUUUUCAGCAAAAUCACAGGUCAUCUGUCUGUAAUUCUCUGCAAUAAAAAUGCUUGCUGGAGCCAAA